rnacentral:rRNA from 1 species
AGUGAACGCUGGCGGUAGGCCUAACACAUGCAAGUCGAACGGCAGCACAGUAUGAGCUUGCUCUUACGGGUGGCGAGUGGCGGACGGGUGAGGAAUACAUCGGAAUCUACUUUUUCGUGGGGGAUAACGUAGGGAAACUUACGCUAAUACCGCAUACGACCUACGGGUGAAAGCAGGGGAUCUUCGGACCUUGCGCGAUUGAAUGAGCCGAUGUCGGAUUAGCUAGUUGGCGGGGUAAAGGCCCUCCAAGGCGACGAUCCGUAGCUGGUCUGAGAGGAUGAUCAGCCACACUGGAACUGAGACACGGUCCAGACUCCUACGGGAGGCAGCAGUGGGGAAUAUUGGACAAUGGGCGCAAGCCUGAUCCAGCCAUACCGCGUGGGUGAAGAAGGCCUUCGGGUUGUAAAGCCCUUUUGUUGGGAAAGAAAAGCAGCAGGUUAAUACCCCGCUGUUCUGACGGUACCCAAAGAAUAAGCACCGGCUAACUUCGUG